GGGGUCUGUUACGGACUGAACUGUGUACUCCCCCUGCCUUCAUAUGUUGAAGUCCCAGCUCCUGGUGUCACUGUGCUUGGAGAUGAGGGCUUUCUGGAGGUGAUUAAAAGAGGGCAUAAGGAUGGGGCCCUGAUCCCAUAGGAUCAAUGUCCUUAUAGGAAGAGAUGAGAGGACUCCCUCUUCUUUCUCUCUCUCCCCACUAUGUGUGGACAUGAGGCAGGGAGAGGGCCCUCAUUGGAAACCAAUUGGCCAGCACCCUGAUCUUGUACUUCCUAGGAAUAGAUGUCUGUUGCUUAAGCCCUCCAGUCUGUGGUAUUUGUUAUGGGCACCUGAGCAGAAGAAGACAGGUCCAAAUGCCUUAAUGCUUCUCUAACUAGUUCUCUACCAAAUGGUUUCAGAGAGCCAGGAACGAUGCUAAAGCUUCCUGAUUCGUGACCCUGGCUAAGCAAAUGUAACGGCCCCAUUGACUCGCAGCCAUUGGAGAACUGAGCUUAAGAAUCUUUUGGCGGUCUGGAAACUUGGAAAAAGAAAGGGGCAACGUAUCCCACUUGAGCCAAGCAGCCAACUCGUGAGUGUGGGUAACAAGCAGGGACAAAAGACCACCAGAGUCACAGAGACGCAGCUGCGGUGACACCGAGAUCCACUCGGCUCUCUUCUCUUCUGCGUCCUGCUCUAUGGCCUGGGAAGCUGAUCUCCAAGGAUCGCAUUCCUAGGGCUCUCUGGCCCAUGGGCUUCCCGUUGGGUUUGCCCAAUGGACAGCCAUGGCAGAAGAUCAAAGGGAAGAUGGCAGGAAGCUGUCCCCCACUCCUCGCCUGGCUGAGUUCUGGCGAUGGCUGCCAUCCAGGGUCCUGAGUCCCACCAGUUUUUACCCCUUGAAGUGAGAAAGAACACGUCUACAACCCUCCCUCAUUCCAGAGGCUGUGUUUUUGCCCUUUGGUCAUGCAGAUGGGGCUAAAGCGAAGUUACAACAUUGGAAAAUGUCUUCUUAACGUCACACUGAUCUCCUUAAGGCAACGAGCCCCACAUGCUCUCUGAGGCCUGUGCACGUGUUCUGAGGACCCAGUUAUGUGCUGCGUGAUUCCAGAGGUGAACAGACCCUCACAGAUCACCUCUCCUCACCCUCUCAUGAGAGGGAAACUGAGGCUCAGGGGGAGAAUUGGCAAAGGUUACACUUGGUGGUGGGUUUGGAAUCUGCCCUGUGGACGCCCGACUAACCAUUUCUGCCAGAUGCGCGUGGGAAGUAAAAUGGGAAGAGGUGCUCCAUAGGAGGAGGGGACGUGGGUACAGUCACGUGGACCCGUGAGCCGGUCACCUGCGAGGCACCAGGGCCUACAGGAAAGGUGCCCGCUGUCGGCUUCCGCAGGGAAUUUCGUUAUCUUUGUGAGGUAGGGUGGAACUUGCAUCCUGAACAUUAAAGUUUACAUGCCAAGGAGGGCGGUGGAGUCCUUGGAACUUCCUGCCUCCCCCUGAGGCUGCCUCCCCAUGCGAUUGACCUGGUCUGGCUGGGCCUGAUGCUGGGCUCAAAGAGAACACAGGUCUCACCCUCCUAUGUGGCGUGUGGUGAAGACUAAGGAGGUCCCCAGGACCCUGAGGGUUGCCCUUGGGUGCAUUGGAGUAGAGGCCAGGGAAGUCCAUGUCCUUUCCGAGCCAGGCCUUGCCGCCGAGGUACAGCCACAGUGUCCCCCUUCCAGCUGCAGAGCCGCUGCUUCCUCAUCUGUCAGGUGGGAACAACGACCCCCACUCUGUGCACCUCACUGGCAGUAGCGAGCACGAAGUGUGAGGGUGGACUCUGCAAGGUGGAAGCCAUGUCCCUGCAGGUUGCAUCUGUGCUGCCUGCCCUGCUGAGGGACGGGAACAGCAGCAUAGCCUUCGGUACCACGUACCUUGUUUGUCAAAACUGGACCUGCCACAGCGCGGUGGCCCUUCUCCUGGGGAAACACACUGUGCCCCAGGAGGUGUGUGGACAAACACCUUCACAGCACUGAUGCUGAGACAGCCAGAGCCCAGAAACGCCCAGCCGCCCCCGGUAGGAAAAUGAAUAAGUAAAUUGGGGCAAUUGGAGAUUGUGAUGUCUCUCUUGCUGAAGACCACCUGGCUGGAUUUGCUGGGGUGGGACCCAGACCGGGACGUUUUCAUACACACAAAACGGGCUGUGCCAGGUGGCCUUCUCCAGGGCACGGUGGGUGGGGGAGUCUCAGGCUGCCACGUGCCUGGCAGGCUUGGGACGAGGUGAAGGGAGGUGAGUGUUCGUGGGGAUGCUGGGACCCCAUUCGGGCCAGGUCAAUCACAUGGGGAGAUACAGUAUCAACAGUAAAGGAUCUUUAGAUAUGUAAACACACAGAUAAGUGGCCGGUGUAAUGUGCAGAAAAUGCUAAACAACAGAAUGCAAUAAUACAAAGUUCCAAAGCAGGCAACCCUAAACUCCAUGUUC
rnacentral:lncRNA from 10 species